rnacentral:tRNA from 1 species
GCGAAAGUGGCGGAAUUGGCAGACGCGCGGCGCUUAGGACGCCGUCCCGCAAGGGGUGGGGGUUCGAGUCCCCCCUUUCGCA